UUGCUCCUUAAAUCCAGGGGCUAGAAACAGCAUAAUUUUUUUGUUUUUUAAUGUUUAAUUUUGGUGGGUUUGUUGUUUUUGUGGGGUUUAUUUUUUAUUUUUUAUUUAUUUAUUUUUUGAGAUAAGGUCUCACUCUGUUGCCCAGGCUGGAGUGCAGUGGCAAGAUCAGGGUUCACUGUAGCCUCGACCUCCCAGGCAUAAGCGAUCCUCCCACCUCUGCCUCCUGAGUAGCUGGAACUAGAGGCAUGCGCCACCACACUUGGCUAAUUUGUGUAUUUUUUGUAGAGAGAGGGGUUUUGCCAUGUUGCCUAGGCUGGUCUUGAACUCCUGAGCUCAAGUGACCCACCCACCUCUGCCUUCCAAAGUGCUGGAAUUACAGUUGUGAGCCACCAUGCCUGGCCUGUUUUGUGUUUUAAGCUAAAUUAUAUCUGGCUUUGUGCCUCCACCUCCUUGGCUGGGAGGACAUACAAAAGUGGUCAUUACUGGGACACUUAACUACCACCACCACCACCUCCCCAUUGUAUAGAAUGGGAAUCCUGAGUGUUGGCCAGGAGAUAGGGCAGGGCCUGGCCUUAGUCCGGUUUGGUUGCUAUCACUUCUCUUUCUCCUGUCAUUUCCCAGUACCAGCGUUGAGUUUGGCCCUCUGCUGUUUAUCAGGCAUAGCUGCCACAGAGAAACUCAUCAGCAUUCCAGUCUGCCUCAGUCUGGGCUGCAAGCCUCCAAAGCCAAGAUGGCCAAUGCUAACUCCCAGGAAGCAAGGUGAGAGAACUAAGCUGUGUGACUCCAAAAGAGCAGAAACCAGGAACUGGAGAAUGGAGGACCAAAGAUCAGAGAACAAACAGGAUGCUGGUCUGUUAUCACUAACAAUAAUUACCACUAACCUCUCUGGUAAGGAGACAACACUGAAACAAAACUGGACUGAGAAUAAGCUCAUAGCAAAGGAGGAAAAUCAAAAGUUUUUACCUCAUCAGCAGCAUCAAUGACGUGAAAUUGCCAGGCAUUUCACCUCUAUUACUUCAGUUAACUCUCACAAACAUUUGAUAAAGCAGAUCUUAUCCUCAUUCUGUGAAUUAGGAAACCGACCUGGAGACGGAGAAUAACUUGACUAGACCACAGGGAUCAAAUGCAUUUAAGCCUCAGUCUUCUGCCUCCAAACCCCAGCUAAAUGUUGCUGUAUUCAACAUAUAGUUAAAUAAUGCCUUACACAUGUACCUUUUGAAAACUGGGCCUUGCCUGCAAAAGAUAUUGCUUUCAAACAAAGUUAUAUUGUACUGUACUGGUGUAAAGUUUAUUUUGUGGUUUAAGACAGUAU
rnacentral:lncRNA from 1 species